CGCGUAGGCGGAUGUUACAGUCAGGCGUGAAAUUCCUGGGCUCAACCUGGGGGCUGCGUUUGAUACGUGAUGUCUGGAGUUCGGAAGAGGGUCGUGGAAUUCCCAGUGUAGAGGUGAAAUUCGUAGAUAUUGGGAAGAACACCGGUGGCGAAGGCGGCGACCUGGUCCUGGACUGACGCUGAGGCGCGAAAGCGUGGGGAGCAAACAGGAUUAGAUACCCUGGUAGUCCACGCUGUAAACGAUGUGUGCUGGAUGUUGGGUGACCUAGUCACUCAGUGUCGUAGCUAACGCGAUAAGCACACCGCCUGGGGAGUACGGCCGCAAGGUUGAA
rnacentral:rRNA from 1 species